rnacentral:lncRNA from 1 species
UGCGCUCGGCUUCAAGGAAAUUAUCCUUCAAAAGUGAAGGAACAACUUUUCUCAAACAAAAUUUGAGGAAAUUUGUGGCCAGUAGAUCUGCCUUGCAAAAAAGAUUAAAAGAAGUUCUCCAGAGAGAUGGAAAAUAAUGUAAGCCAGAAACUCAGAUCUUUAGAAGAAUGAGCAUUGGCAAAGAAUAAGUGAAGGGACAAUAAUUCGUUUGUGAACGUCUGAAGAAUUUAUUUCUUCUCUCAUCCAGAAAUUGUAUUCAUGCAGCAAAUAAAUAAAUGCGUCAUCAAAUUAGAAGAAGAGAAUUUCAACUUCCUAAUCAGAGACAAAGAUUAAGAAACUGAUUUCUGUUGCCUGUGCUUGCUACAAGAAAACUGGACAAAUACAUAUGGAUAACUUUUUUGAAAAGCUAUGCUAAUUUACAGUUGCAGGAACUUGGAAAGAGCCUGGCAGAUUUCUAAUACUUGCUCACUUUGGCCUUGUUGCAUGUAUGCAUCAGGUAACUGGCCAGGUACUUGACUUGAUGGGGUACCUCAGCCUUCUUUCCAGUGGGAUCUGAGUUCCUGAUGGUCUCAUCCUCAUUGGGGUCCCAUAGUGUCCACUGUGUACUGUUCAAAGAUGUCCAUCCACAAACAUGAUGACUGAUAAACUCUCUGAGAUAUCUUCUGGGUGAUGGUACAUGAGGUAAGGCUAGUAUUUUCUUUUUUCUUUUUCUUUUUUAUUGAAGUAUAGUUGAUUUACAGUGUCAUGUUAUUUUUAGAUUUAUAGCACAAUGAUUCUUUUCCCUUAUAGAUUAUUUAAGAACAUCGAUUAUGGUUCCCUGUACUAUACAGUAUGUCCUUGUUGGUUAUCUGUUGUGUACACAGUAGUGUGUAUGUGUUAAUCCCAUCCUACUAAUUUAUCUCUCCCACUCAUCUUCCCCUCUGGUAGCCAUAACUUUGGUUUCUAUGUCUGUGGGUCUAUUUCUGUUUUGUAAAUAAGUUCUCUUGUAUCUUUUUUUUUUUCACAUUCCACUUAUAAGUGAUAUGGUAUUUGUUUUCUCUGGGUUACUUCACUUAGUGUGAUAAUUUCUAGGUCCAUCCAUGUUGCUGCAAAUGGCACUAUUUCAUUCUUUUUUAUUGCUGAGUAAUAUUCCAUUGUGUAUAUAUAGCACAUCUUUAUCCUUUCAUCUGUCAGUGUACAUUUAGGUUGCUUCCCUGUCUUGGCUAUUGUGAGUAAUGCUACUCUGAAGAUUGGGGGAAGGCUAGUAUAUGUUCGAGCAUAAGUUUAUUGCGCACUUUGUUAUUAAGAUGCGCUUCCUGGUUGGAGGUAAUGUUCCCCCACUACAGUUGAUAAGAAGAUGGGUGACAUUCUCUAAAUCCACAAAUGGUGAUGCUAGCAGAACUGCUGUAGGAAAGAACAGCACCCAAAGUGUGUGUCUGUGUCUCCAUGUCGUGUUGCGGGGGGUGGGGUUCAACAAAAGGAAUUCGUCGUUGUGCAGCCAGAUGAUCACUCUGGGGCACACUGGCCUGCUUUUGGCAGGGUGGGCACUCAGCAAUGGUUAGCCACACUGGCCUUCGUGAGGGGAGCCCAUGGUGUCCACCCUCUUCACAGUUGCUAUCCCUGCCAACUUUGUACCCGAACUCUUUGAGUGAGCUGUGCUUCUGAAAAGGGCUGACUGACUGGCAUCAUGAUAAGAACCAUUCUUCUGAGAGUGUGUACAUUGGACACAUUCUCAUAUUCUUGUGCUUACCUGAGAUGUCCAUCCUCAAAUCUCAUUGUUUCACCUUCCUAUCACAAACUUCCAACCUUGUUCUUUUAAAGACUCUAUCCAGUUACCUAACCUGAUGGUAGCUUGGCAAAUAAAUAUCCCACCUAUACUCACUACUUGUCCUUCAGAUUUCCCACUGGUGUCUCCUAUUGACCAAACCAUCUAGAAAUGGGAGGGCAGGGAACCCUAUUGAUGCAUACCAUAGGGUCAGGCACCCAGGGCACAGAGUAGGGAGGAUAAGGGGGAAGGGUCUACCCUGGGACUUUCUGUCUGCUUCCUUGGUAUUUAGAUUUGAUACAGAGCACCAGAUUGGAAAAGAAGAAGUAAAAUUUCUUUUAUUUGCUGGUGACAUGAUGGUAUAUAUAUAUAAAAUAUUAAGGCAUUUAAGAAAAAAAAACCUACUAAAACUAAAUUAAUUUAGUGUGGACACAAGAGUCAAAAGUUUUCUACAAAAACCGAUAGUAUUUCUACAUACUAGUAACACACAAUUUCAUUCACAAUAGCAUAAGAAAACAGAAACUACUCAGGAAUAAAUUUAACAAAAUAUGUGCAUGACCUAUAUACCGGAAACUAUAAAUCCUUGAUGAAUGAAAUUUAAGGAGACCUACAUAAAUAAGAGAUUUACCAUGUUUCGAAAUCAAAAGACUUGAUAUUGUUAAGAUGUCAGUUCUACCUAAAUGAUAUAGAGUUUUAAUGCAGUUACAAUAAAAUUUCAGCAGUCACAUCUGAGAACUUUAUUGGACAUGGCUUAGCGCCAGGGCCUGGUGUGCCCAGUGCACUGCCCCAUGGCCCAGGGCAGCCAGGGCUGCAGGAGCCGGUUUCUUCCAACAAGCCUCAGAGCAAACAGUAACCUCACAAUUUAAAGUAGAAAUUGACAAGUUAAUUCUAAAAUGAAUAUGAGAAUACAAACAAGUACAGCCAGAGCAGUUCUUAAAAAGAAGAAUAAAGUUAGAAGAGUGACACCACUUUGUUUUGAAGGCUUACAGUAAAAUACAGAAUCAAGACAAUGUGGUCUGAGUGAAAGGAUAAGCAUGUAAAUCAGUGGAACAGAAUAGAUUCCAGAAGUGUACCUACAUGUAUAUAGUCAUUUUUCUUUAGGCAAAAAUGCAACAUAUUUUCAAUAGGAAAGAAAAACCUUUUCAGCGAAUGGUGCUGGAUCAACUGGAUAUCUGUAUGGAAAAAAAAUCAUUAACUUUUAUCUUCCUUACAUAAUAAUUAACUCAAAAUAAAUUUUAGACCUAAAUGUAAAAGCCAUAGCUAUAAAACUUAAAAACAAAACAAAACUGAGUGACUUUAAAUAAGGCAGAGAUUUCUUAGGGCAGCAGGAGCAAAAUCAUUUUAAAAAAAAGAUGGAGUUCCCGUCGUGGCACAGAGGAAAUGUAUCUGAAUAGGAACCAUGAGGUUGCAGGUUCAAUCUCUGGCCUUGCUCAGUGGGUUAAGGAUCCAGUGUUGCCAUGAGCUAUGGUGUAGGUCAUAGACGAGGCUCAGAUCUGGUUUUGCUCUGGCUGUGGCGUAGGCCAGUGGCUGUAGCUCCAAUUGGACCCCUAGCCUGGGAACUACCAUAUGCCGCAGGUACGGCCCUAAAAAGCAAAUAAAUAAAUAAAAUAAAAAAGAGAUAAAUUGGAAUUUCUCAAAAUUAAAAACCUUGGCUCCUCAGACGACAGUGUUAAUAAUAAAAAGAAAAGCCACAGUUUGGGAAGAAAAUACUGUAUCUGACAAAUAACAUGUAUGUCGAAUUUAUAAAAACAUUUGCAUUGGAAAAGUAAAACAUCCCAUUUAAUAAAUUAGCAAAAUAUUGAAAAGACACCUCUCCAGAAAAGAUUUAUGAAUAGUCAUCAAACACAUGAAAACUUGCUCAUCAAUCAAAUGAGAAUUUCAAGAGAAAACCAUAAGUAAGUCACACUAGCCACACAUUUUAAUCGCUAAAUUUAAAAACACUGAUGGACAAUAGUAAUUGUUGGCAAGAACUGGAACUCUCUCAUAUGCUCCUGUUGGUAGACUCCUUUGCACAGCUCUUUGGCCCUUUCUUACAAAUUCCAACCACUUGAAAUGACCUAAAUACUGUCAACAGGUGAGUGAUCUAAAUACCCAUCAACAUAAACUAAAUGUGAUCCAGGGUUGUCACUGCUGUGGCGUGCCUCAAUCCCUGGCCCAGGAACUUCUGCAUGCUGCAGGUGUGGCCAAAAAAAAAAACAGAAAAAAACAAAAACAAAAAUGUGGAACAUUCUUACACAACCUAGCUGUUCAAAUUAGCAUGUAGUCUUUGUAAAUAAAGUGGGUUUUUUUAACCUUAAAAAGAAAACGAAAUUUGAAAUAUCUGUGCAGUGAACUAGUACUCAACAAGAAAAAAAUCAAUGAACUACUGAUACAUUCAACAACGUGGAUGAACUUCAAAGUAGUUAUGCUGAGGGAAAGAAUCCAGAAGUCAAAGAGUUCAUACUGAUUCAAUUUAGAUAAAAUUCUGGACAAUGAAAACUAAUCUAUAGUGAGAGAGAGAGUAGAUUGGUGGUUGCCUGGGGCUCAAGAUAGAGAGAGAUGAGAGACUUCAAAGGACACGAGAGAAUUUUUCUCAUAAUGGAAAUGUUUUACAUCUUAAUUGUGGCUGUGGUUUCGUGGAUGAACGUAUCUGUCAAAGUCCACUGAAUUGUAUCCAUUAAAUGGGUGCAUUUAUUGAACAUAUGUUGUACUUUGAUAAAGUUGUUUCAAAAAUUUAAAAAGAUGUUUGACGCUGUCUUCAGAUGUAAAUUCAGGAUCUCCAGGUAGUAUUAAUUCCUGUCCAUCUGGUCUGGUUGUGGAUCCUUAUGUUUUGGUCAUCUGUAAUUUAAAAAGGACAAGUUAUCUGCACUAUUCUUUCUGCCCCAAACACAGUGGUGGAUCAGAGAUAAUAUAACCAGAAAUAAAAAUUUCCACUCUGUAAAAGAAGAAAUGAACAUCAGCGAAUCCAUAAAAAUGAUGAAAUGCUGGUGUGGAUGCGCUGUGAAUGCCCCUUCCCCUCAAGGUAGGAAAAUUCUUUAAUUAGAAGCUGAUUUUACUCAUUUGGAGUGAAGACUUUGUCCACUGGUCCUUGGCUCUGUCUUUCAGAAGUUGUUGCUUGUGCAUCUUCUUCUUCAGCCACCUCUGAAGAGGGUGUUGGAAAUCAUACCCUCCCUACGGCAUCCCUGGUUUAUUUCCUGAUGGUGCAACAUUGCAUACAGUUAGAGGCAUGGGUAGACGGGGCCAUGGUUCUUGGCAAUGCAAGUCCCUUAUGAACCUAGGCUUCAAGCCCAUUUGCUUCCAGUCAGUACCACAUUCCAGGUUCUUAAGUCAGAGCAGUCAAACUUAAAUUUCCUUGCGUCCCGGCCCCAUGCCUCUCUCAAUUUAAUUGCAGCAAUCCAAAGGACACUAAGCUUGCAGUGGGGGUGGGGGUGGGGGGAGGCUAAAUCUUUAAUUUCCUUUUUCGUUUUUUUUUUUUUUUUUUUUUUUUUUUUAGCAUGACUGAGUUUUACUGUACUUUUGUAGCAUAAAAACUUUCCACUGCUUGGAUUCUAGAAAUACCCAGUUUUCCAACACUUUGAAACCCCAUCGAAUGGCACCCUAUCCCUCUUUGUGCCUAACAUGCCAAAGAGCCACUUCCUGCCCAAAUUAAUCAUUAUUGUUUUUUAUAAUGAUUUUUAUUUUUUCCAUUAUAACUGGUUUACAGUAUUCUGUCAAUUUUCUGCUGUACAGCAAGGUGACCUUGUCACACAUACAUGUAUACAUUGUUUUUUGUCACAUAAUCAUGCUCCCUCAUAAGAGACUAGAUAUAGUGCUAUACAGCCAGGAUCUCAUUGCUUAUCCAUUCCAAAGGAAAUAGUUUGCAUCUAUUAACCCCAAAUUCCCAAUCCAUCCCACUCCCUCCCCCUCCCCCUUGUUUUUAAUUGCCAACACAUUUUUAACAUUUUAUUAUCCAACAUCAUCCAUUAGGGCUACAAGUCUGCCUUAGAACUUAUCACAGAUUACAGCUUUACCAAAUGUUUAGAUGCCUAACCUCUAACCCAUAGUUGAGCUUCUCUUGUGGCAGCACCUCAUGUCUAAAAACAAUUUCUCUAAGAUUUAGGGAUGCUAAAGAUAAGCCCUGAAAUCUCAUAAACUUAACAAGCAGUUUGUUUCUUGCUUAUGUUGAGGCUGGUCUGUAGUAGGGGCAGGGAUCCGGCUCCUUAGUCAUCCCCAUCCUAAGUCUGUUGGGUUCUGCUCUCUUCAUCACCCAGCACCUAAAGUCUCCUUGGGCAUUAGCAUUCUGCUAAAUGAUGGGGGAAGGAUGACUUGCAACAUUUCUGCCCACAUUUCACUAUCAAAUGAAGUCAUAUGGCCACCUUUGACUUUAAAGGUGUCUGAAAAAAUGUCUAGUUUGACAUAAAGAGUUUAGCUGAUCUCUGUCCAAGAAUCUAAUUGUGUGGUGGGAAAUUAGACAUAUGUUAUUUAGUGAUACUCCACCUAGAACACAGUUAAAUGGAGCUGUGUUGGAUCAUAUAGGAGCUAAAGCAAAGUCAGAAAAACAUCACUGUCUGAUAUUAAAGUCAGUGAGAGUAACUAUGAAAAUGAAAGAGCUCGGCUUAAGCAGGAAGAUUUGCAAAUAUGUUGAGCAUGCAUUUUCCAAAUUCAAUUAGAGUGAAGUAGUGUAUCAUUGGGAAGAUAAUAUAAUACAACUUAUGCAAAAAAAAUGUGACCUUAAUUGUACUGUAGUACAUUUUGUGUACUGUUUCAAAAAAGUGUUUUGAAAAAGGAUGAUUCUUUUUACUUUAUCAUAACCUGGGGACAGUAUUCCUCAGGUCCAUUUGCUGUAACUUUAGUCUCGCUAGAAUUAUGAUUAUUAAUUUUAAUAGCUAUUUGGACUAUUGAUUUAUUUACCAGAAACCAAUCUCUAUUCUGUGAUCUUUGAACAAGUUAAUUUAUUUUUCCAAAAACUCCAUUUCACUGAUAAAGAAACUGAGUCAUAUUAAUGAAAUGACUUGUACAACAGGCUACUGGAAAUUCAGUUGGCAGGUUGCAGAGUUGGAUUUGAGUGUGGUUUUACCUGAGGCCAAAUCUCUUGAUCUCAGAUAAUGCAUGAUCCUGACUCUCGCGGGAAAUAGACACUGCUACUAGAAAGGGGGAGCUCUGGGGUAGUGAAGUCAUAUCUUCAGUGAAACAAAUAGAUUUAUCUUCUUGUUUAUAUGUCUUGUGUGAGUCUUGAUGGGUUUUGUAGUGUACCCUCUGUAUUUUCAGGUGCAAAAAAAAGAAAAA